GCCAGAUGUGAUGGCAUGCAUCUGUAGUCCCAGCUACAUGGGAGGCUGAGGUGGGAGGAUCGCUUGAGCCCAGGAGGUCAAGGCUGCAGUGAGCUGUGAUUGCACCACUGCACCCCAGCCUGGGCGACAGAGCAAGACCCUGUCUCAA
rnacentral:sRNA from 1 species